rnacentral:rRNA from 1 species
CAGUAGCCGCGGGAAUACAGAGGGUGCAAGCGUUAAUCGGAAUUACUGGGCGUAAAGCGCGCGUAGGUGGUUUGUUAAGUUGGAUGUGAAAGCCCCGGGCUCAACCUGGGAACUGCAUCCAAAACUGGCAAGCUAGAGUACGGUAGAGGGUGGUGGAAUUUCCUGUGUAGCGGUGAAAUGCGUAGAUAUAGGAAGGAACACCAGUGGCGAAGGCGACCACCUGGACUGAUACUGACACUGAGGUGCGAAAGCGUGGGGAGCAAACAGGAUUAGAGACCCCAGUGUCCCUGUCUCUUAUACC